rnacentral:rRNA from 1 species
GAUGAACGCUGGCGGCGUGCCUAAUACAUGCAAGUCGAGCGAACAGACGAGAGUGCUUGCACUCUCUGACGUUAGCGGCGGACGGGUGAGUAACACGUGGGUAACCUACCUAUAAGACUGGGAUAACUUCGGGAAACCGGAGCUCAUACCGGAUAAUCUUUAGCUUCGCAUGAAGCAAUAGUGAAAGACGGUUCUGCUGUCACUUAUAGAUGGACCCGCGGUGUAUUAGCUAGUUGGUGGGGUAAAGGCUGACCAAGGCAAUGAUACAUAGCCGACCUGUGAGGGUGAUCGGCCACACUGGGACUGAGACACGGCCCAGACUCCUACGGGAGGCAGCAGUAGGGAAUCUUCCGCAACGGACGAAAGUCUGACGGAGCAAUGCCGCGUGAGUGAAGAAGGUUUUCGGAUCGUAAAACUCUGUUGUAAGGGAAGAACAAGUACGUUAGUAACUGAACGUACCUUGACGGUACCUUACCAGAAAGCCACGGCUAACUACGUG